GGCGCAAUGGCUGAGUGGUAAAGCACUUGGCUUCCGAACCGGGAGUCCCAGAUUCGAAUCCUGAUGAAGUCU
rnacentral:tRNA from 1 species